rnacentral:rRNA from 1 species
CAGUACGGCGAGUGAAGCGGCAAGAGCUCAAAUUUGAAAUCUGGCCCCCUCGGGGUCCGAGUUGUAAUUUGCAGAGGAUGCUUCGGGUGCGGCCCCCGUCUAAGUGCCCUGGAACGGGCCGUCAUAGAGGGUGAGAAUCCCGUCUGGGACGGGGUGUCCGCGUCCGUGUGAAGCUCCUUCGACGAGUCGAGUUGUUUGGGAAUGCAGCUCUAAAUGGGUGGUAAAUUUCAUCUAAAGCUAAAUACUGGCCGGAGACCGAUAGCGCACAAGUAGAGUGAUCGAAAGAUGAAAAGCACUUUGAAAAGAGAGUUAAAAAGCACGUGAAAUUGUUGAAAGGGAAGCGCUUGCGACCAGACUCGCCCGCGGGGUUCAGCCGGCAUUCGUGCCGGUGUACUUCCCCGCGGGCGGGCCAGCGUCGGUUUGGGCGGCCGGUCAAAGGCCCCCGGAAUGUAGCACCCUUCGGGGUGCCUUAUAGCCGGGGGUGCAAUGCGGCCAGCCUGGACCGAGGAACGCGCUUCGGCACGGACGCUGGCAUAAUGGUCGUAAACGACCCGUCUUGAACCACGGGACCCAC